GGAAGUGGUAGCUCAGUGGUUAAGACGUGGACUACUGAUCAGAAGAUCCCGAGUUCAAAUCCCAACACUGCCA